GUUCAACCUCAGUGGCUGAAAUUUUGUUUCCCUCGCUUUAUAACCUCAGCAUCCUCUUUUACAGGAAUAAGCAAGUAGAAGAGGAGCAACGAUUUGUAAGGAAUGGACAUGCUGAUAAAUGGGAAAAGGUUCACCAAAUUUGAGAUAAGUUUGAAUAUGAUAGAUAGAGAAUCUGUGCAAAAAGAUGGCUCCUCUUGUUACGUUACUCUCUGCAGAACCAGAGAUACAAUAUGUUGCCUUAAGAAAUAUCAACCUCAUUGUCCAAAGGUGGCCUACUAUUCUAGCCCAUGAAAUUAAGGUGUUUUUCUGCAAGUACAAUGACCCAAUUUAUGUGAAGAUGGAGAAGUUAGAAAUCAUGAUAAAGCUUGCUUCAGACAGAAAUAUUACGUCUGUGGGACAACCUCUUUCUAUGCCUACUCACAAAUAGCAUGUGCUUAUCAGGACUUGUGGUAUGUACUACUAACAAUAAUAUCUCACAUGAUGUUGACAACUCCAAGGACAUCUCAUAAAAAAUCCGAGUACACAGAGAGCAAAAAGUUUACUUGAGAUACCAGUUGCUCAUCGCAUUGUCAUUAGUGGCGCUCCAAUUCAGAACAAUCUAAGGGAACUAUGGGCGCUAUUUAACUUCUGCUGUCCUGAACUACUGGGUGAUAACAAAGUCUACUUCUCCUGGUUUCUAAACAUCCUCAUUAUCA